rnacentral:piRNA from 1 species
UGGUUUCCUGCAUUUGUUUCAAACUU